rnacentral:rRNA from 1 species
AGCGAACGCUGGCGGCAGGCCUAACACAUGCAAGUCGAGCGCCCUAGCAAUAGGGAGCGGCGCACGGGUGAGUAACACGUGGGAAUAUGCCUUUUGGUACGGAACAACGUUUGGAAACGAACGCUAAUGCCGUAUGGUCCCUUCGGGGUAAAGAUUUAUCGCCAAAAGAUUAGCCCGCGUUGGAUUAGCUAGUUGGUAGGGUAAUGGCCUACCAAGGCGACGAUCCAUAGCUGGCCUGAGAGGACGAUCAGCCACACUGGGACUGAGACACGGCCCAGACUCCUACGGGAGGCAGCAGUUAGGAAUAUUGAACAAUGGGCGCAAGCCUGAUCCAGCCAUGCCGCGUGAGUGAUGAAGGCCUUCGGGUUGUAAAGCUCUUUAGCCGAUGAUUAUAAUGACUGUAGUCGGAAAAUAAGCCCCGGCUAACUUCGUGCCAGCAGCCGCGGUAA